GGGCCCGCACAAGCGGUGGAGCAUGUGGUUUAAUUCGAUGCAACGCGAAGAACCUUACCAGGGCUUGACAUACUGCAGAUCUUUUUGAGAAAGAAGAGUGCCUUCGGGAAUGCAGAUACAGGUGGUGCAUGGCUGUCGUCAGCUCGUGUCGUGAGAUGUUGGGUUAAGUCCCGCAACGAGCGCAACCCUUAUUUUUAGUUACCAACUUGUUGGGUUCUCUAGAAAGACUGCCGGUGACAAACCGGAGGAAGGUGAGGAUGACGUCAAGUCAGCAUGCCCCUUAUGUCCUGGGCUACACACGUGCUACAAUGGUUAAGACAAAGAGUCGCGAGUUCGUGAGAACCAGCUAAUCUCGUAAACUUAGCCUAAGUUCAGAUUGUAGGCUGCAACUCGCCUACAUG
rnacentral:rRNA from 1 species